GACGAACGCUGGCGGCGUGCUUAACACAUGCAAGUCGAACGGAAAGGCCCUGCUUUUGUUGGGUGCUCGAGUGGCGAACGGGUGAGUAACACGUGAGUAACCUGCCCUUGACUUCGGGAUAACUUCAGGAAACUGGGGCUAAUACCGGAUAGGAGCUCCUGCUGCAUGGUGGGGGUUGGAAAGUUUCGGCGGUUGGGGAUGGACUCGCGGCUUAUCAGCUUGUUGGUGGGGUAGUGGCUUACCAAGGCUUUGACGGGUAGCCGGCCUGAGAGGGUGACCGGCCACAUUGGGACUGAGAUACGGCCCAGACUCCUACGGGAGGCAGCAGUGGGGAAUAUUGCACAAUGGGCGGAAGCCUGAUGCAGCAACGCCGCGUGCGGGAUGACGGCCUUCGGGUUGUAAACCGCUUUCGCCUGUGACGAAGCGUGAGUGACGGUAAUGGGUAAAGAAGCACCGGCUAACUACGUG
rnacentral:rRNA from 1 species